CCGACUUUAGCUCAGUUGGAAGAGCGCGAGACUGUAAUGUGAUACCUGACCAUCUUGAGGUCGCCUGUUCGAGCCAGGCAAGUCGGA